CGCGAACCCUGCAGCGGCCUCCUGCUCUCGUGCGCUGUCCGGGCGAGGCGCAGUUCAGCCCGAAAAAACCUAAUAUUUCAAAUGCGCAACGACACAAUCAAAUUAAGUUUGCUUAACUAUUGAAUCAUUUAAUGUUCAACGCGCUCUGUACUCUAAUGACCAAAAUCAAACACAUCUGCGACGUUGCGUGACGCAGGUGCAUGUGUAACAGGCUAAUGUCCACAUGCGACCGUCAGAGCUUUGACUAGGGGGAUUUUACUUUCAACGGAGUGUAUACUGUUUUUGCCCAAAAAACCCGUAAUGUGACCGCAUUCAGCUCAACAUUUCGGAAAACGUUGAGGAGCGCAGUGGCACGAAAAGGACGAGUGGACUGAAGACGAAGAGCAGACUAAACGAGGGACUUCGCUUGGACACAGCUCACAAAGUGACUCAUACAGUGAAAAUGGAGGACUUCGCGUGGUCAAAGCUCACAUUGUGACUCAUACAGAGUUCAUUGAUGCCUGACACAGUCCAGUGGUUAAGGACACCGACCGCCAACAUAGAGAGGUAGCUUCAAUGCAGGCU